rnacentral:rRNA from 1 species
CUACGGGUUGCAGCAGUGAGGAAUAUUGGUCAAUGGACGCAAGUCUGAACCAGCCAUCCCGCGUGCAGGAUGACGGCCCUAUGGGUUGUAAACUGCUUUUGUAUACCAAGAAUUGCCACUACGUGUAGUGGUUUGCCGGUAGUAUACGAAUAAGCAUCGGCUAACUCCGUGCCAGCAGCCGCGGGUAAUACGGAGGAUGCAAGCGUUAUCCGGAUUCAUUGGGUUUAAAGGGUGCGCAGGCGGGCUUGUAAGUCAGUGGUGAAAUUCUGCAGCUUAACUGUAGAACUGCCAUUGAUACUGCAAGUCUUGAAUAUGGUUGAGGUAGGCGGAAUGUGUUGUGUAGCGGUGAAAUGCAUAGAUAUGACACAGAACGCCGAUUGCGAAGGCAGCUUACUAAGCCAUGAUUGACGCUGAGGCACGAAAGCGUGGGGAGCGAACAGGAUUAGAUACCCUCGUAGUC